GACGAACGCUGGCGGCGUGCUUAACACAUGCAAGUCGAACGAAGUGGCGAACGGGAGAGUAACGCGUAAUCAACCUGCCCUUCAGAGGGGUACAACAGUUGGAAACGACUGCUAAUACCGCAUACGGAAGGAGGGGAUUGAGUCUGCUUAGGUAGUUGGAGGGGUAACGGCCCACCAAGGGGAUGAUCAGUAGCCGGUCUGAGAGGAAGAACGGCCACAUUGGGACUGAGACCAGGGCCAGACUCCUACGGGAGGCAGCCGUGGGGAAUCUUCCGACAUGGACGAAAGUCUGACGGAGCAACGCCGCGUGAGGGAUGACGGCCUUCGGGUUGUAAAGCUCUGUUAAUCGGGACGCGGUACCGGAAUAGAAAGCCACGGCUAACUACGUGCCAGCAGCCGCGGUAAUAC
rnacentral:rRNA from 1 species